CAGAAGGUAGAAAAGCAAGGGAACAACGGCAGAAGUGACAAAGCCAAAGAAAUGUAGUGAGCAGAAGGUGAAGCCAUACACAUGCUGGUGAUGGGACGCAAGCCCUGGAUAACACUGUUCUUAGAAGUUUAUUGCACUGACAGCUUUGGCAACAGCAUCAAAGACAAGCACAGGCAGAUGAAGAAUAGAAGUUCCAUGGCAUGUGUUGGAUAUCACAUUUCAGUUCAAGUGGAAAUCCUGCAAACGUCUCUAGAUGGCGCAGAUCCAGCGCGGCGCAGUCCACCCCAUCGGGACUGUAUUAGAUCUCUAAUUGAUGCCUCUCCCCUCGUCGCUGACAGUUACGCACAAACCAGGAUCAGGUCACGGAAUUUAGCGCGACCUGAAGAGGUGGCGUAGACCGCCUUCAGAGCCUACAGUGGAUUUAAAACAUAAUGAGAGCAUGGCUGAGAAAGUAAAACACACCAGGGCCAUAGGACGAAGAAGACGAGAAGAAAAAGAAGAAAUCUCACACAACAAAUUCUUUUUUUUUUUAACCAGUUUUGCUUUGUUUUAUUUUAUUAUUUGCUAUUUGCUAUAUAAAAACACUAUUAGUGAACAUGUAUGAAUUUAUAAAAGCUUGGACUGAAAUAAGUUUGAGGAUGAAAUAUAUAAACAUUAGAAGCUGAAUAAUUUUUGGAUAAUCUUUCUUAUUGUGCUGCACUUUGACUAAACCGGCCUUUAAGUAUAUUGUUAUGUUUGUGUCAAACAGGAAUGUUAUAUGAAUUAUUUCUUCAGUUCCCCAGAAGUCACCUUUCUCUGUGGUCAAUAAAAGUGUUGACAUCGUC